AACGCACCUUGCGCCUUUCGGUAUUCCGAAGGGCAUGCCUGUUUGAGUGUCAUUAAAUCAUCAAACCUCUCCUUGCUUGACUCAUCUCUGGCACGUGAGCGUUUUGGAAUAUGAGGGUCUCUUGCUGGAGCCUCUAGUGGCCUCGGCUCCCUUCAAAUGCAUCAGCAGGACUGCUUUGUCGGCCUGACCUUGGUUUGAUAAGUCUAUCUAUGCCAUUGUCAGGAGGGCUUUGACCUGCUCAUAGUUGUCUCUCUCGUGAGACUGUCUCGUGAGACAAAAGGACCUUCGGCGUCUUUUGAUCUUGAUCUCAAAUCAGGUAGGAUUACCCGCUGAACUUAA
rnacentral:misc_RNA from 1 species